rnacentral:rRNA from 1 species
GACGAACGCUGUCGGCGUGCUUAACACAUGCUAGUCGAACGGAAAGGCCCUGCUUUUGUGGGGUGCUCGAGUGGCGAACGGGUGAGUAACAAGUGAGUAACCUGCCCUUGACUUUGGGAUAACUUCAGGAAACUGGGGCUAAUACCGGAUAGGAGCUCCUGCUGCAUGGUGGGGGUUGGAAAGUUUCGGCGGUUGGGGAUGGACUCCCGGCUUAUCAGCGUGUUGGUGGGGUAGUGGCUUACCAAGGCUUUGACGGGUAGCCGGCCUGAGAGGGUGACCGGCCACAUUGGGACUGACAUACGGCCCAGACUCCUACGGGAGGCAGCAGUGGGGAAUAUUGCACAAUGGGCGGAAGCCUGAUGCAGCAACGCCGCGUGCGGGAUGACGGCCUUCGGGUUGUAAACCGCUUUCGCCUGUGACGAAGCGUGAGUGAGGGUAAUGGGUAAAGAAGCACCGGCUAACUACGUG